UCGUGUUGUUAUGACUGCUUGUGUGUGUCGGUCGGUCGGUCGGUGGGCGCCAUUUGUCAGUGGUGGUGGAGCGAGCUGUCAAAACCAUAUUGAUUGCGGUCCGAAGAGAUUGAGCGUGUGAAUGUGUGCGUUUAGAAGUAAAUUCGACGCCGAAUUGAUGAGCUCCGAGUUGCAGUUGAAAUAAUAGAAAUAAGUAAAGUGGCGGAGAUAGAGAGAGAUAGAGAGAGAAAGAGAAGAGAGUUUUGCAAUGGAAGCGGCGAUGCGAGGACACUGCUGCUGUUGCUCCUGCACUGCUCGUUAAGAAGGGAAAAGAGACGAGACGGAAGAGCUGAACAAGUCGGUGUCGGUGGUGCGCGGAUAAACCAACAAAAAGAAGAAGGAAAGAAGAAUAAGAAGAAGAGGAGGAGGAAGAGUAUCGACGACACUGUCUGUACGUGCGCGCGUGUGUAUUUGUGAAUUUGCACUUUUACACACACACAUAUAUAUAUAGAUAUACAUAUACAGGAAUCACGCAGGCAAUCGAAUAACAGUUAGUGUGUGAUUUCAGUUGGAAGUGCUGCACAUACACCAUACGUUCUUUCAUCUAUCUGUCGUACCAGCACAGCACACCUUUACCGGCUGAAGCGGGGGAGAGACGAAAAAAUAAAACAUCGAAGAGAGUGUGAGAGGAAGCAGGAGGAGGUGGAGGAGUGAAGAAGAAGACAUCGGCGAUCCUGUUUCUUCGUUCUUUUUCUUUUGUUCCUGUUCGUUUCCAUCGCGACGAGAGACCGAAGGAAAGGAGGAGGAGGAGGAGAGCGAGUGGAGUUAUCCGCCACGAGCAGACUCUGGCGUGCACACACAGACACGGUCGACCUGAAGAACAGUUAUAUAUUAAGUUUUGACGAGAAUUCGCAGAGGACGGAGCGAGGUGAGCGUCGCGUGAGUGUGUGUGUGUGAGUGUAGUACGUGCGCUAUGCGGACGGUUCCACUAGGUCGUUCCUCUUCUCAAGUAGUAGCAGCAGAAGCAGCAACAACACCAAUAACAGCAAAAUCAGCCAAUCGAACGACCAUCCAAUUGGAAUGAGUUGCCGUUGCCUGACAACGACGAUCUUCUUCUGAUAGCCGUCGUCUCCCUGCCUAACCCAGUAAAACCCAUAGGAACUGACUUGAAUUCACACACACAGAUACGUCCAUCCCCCCACGUCGUGUGCGCGUUUUUAACUUUUUUUUUGUUUGUUUGUUUUAUCCUCCCUUAAGUAUUUAUAUUGCCUGCCCACCUCUUAUUCUCCCUUUCUUAACUUUCAUAUUCAACCAAAUUUACUUUUGUGGUGCAUCCCGUGCAGUGGUAUCACCUUCCCCCUUGAAUCAGCAAGUGCACAAGUGUUCCUACCUACCAAAAGGAAAUUAUGAUUAAAAUGGAAACGGACAAGGUUAUUGAGGAUUCUAACAGCAAUUCGCAGUUUCCGAUGACGAUGAUUUAUGAUCCGGCGAGGAAGAAGGAACCGUCCGCGGAAUUGAUAGACGAACGGAACAUAUGUUUGCACUACUUCGAAAAAUGGAGCGAAUCGGAUCAGGUGGAGUUCGUCGAGAGUUUGCUCUCGAGGAUGUGCCACUAUCAACACGGACACAUCAACACCUACCUGAAGCCGAUGCUGCAGCGCGACUUUAUCUCUUUACUGCCAAAGAAAGGAUUGGAUCACGUUGCCGAGAACAUCCUCUCGUACCUGGACGCGGAGAGCCUCUGCGCAGCAGAAUUGGUGUGCAAGGAAUGGCUUCGGGUGAUAUCGGAGGGAAUGCUGUGGAAGAAGCUGAUCGAGCGCAAAGUUCGGACGGACUCGCUGUGGCGGGGCUUGGCGGAGCGACGACAGUGGAUUCAAUACGUAUUCAAACCGAGACCGGGCGAGAGUCACAGGCCGCACACCUUCUAUCGGUCGCUGUAUCCGAAGAUCAUACAGGAUAUCGAGAGCAUCGAAAACAAUUGGAGGAUGGGUCGUCACAUCCUGCAGCGCAUCAACUGUCGUUCGGAGAACAGCAAAGGCGUCUACUGUCUGCAGUACGACGACCAGAAGAUCGUUUCGGGUCUGAGGGACAACACGAUCAAGAUAUGGGACCGUGGCACGCUGCAGUCGACGAAAGUGCUCACCGGUCACACCGGAUCUGUGCUCUGUCUGCAGUACGACGAUAAGGUCAUCAUCAGCGGCUCCAGCGAUUCGACGGUGCGCGUCUGGAACGUCAACUCCGGCGAGCUGGUGAACACUCUGAUCCACCACUGUGAGGCAGUGCUGCAUCUCCGAUUCAACAACGGUAUGAUGGUGACAUGUUCGAAGGACCGAUCGAUAGCUGUGUGGGAUAUGACUUCGCAGACGGACAUCACGUUGAGGAGGGUGCUCGUCGGACACAGGGCGGCCGUGAACGUGGUCGACUUUGACGAAAAAUACAUCGUAUCGGCGUCCGGCGAUCGGACAAUUAAAGUGUGGAACACGUCGAACUGUGAAUUUGUGCGGACUCUGAACGGUCACAAGAGGGGCAUCGCCUGCCUCCAGUACAGGGAUAGGCUGGUGGUCAGCGGCAGCUCCGACAACACCAUUAGAUUAUGGGAUAUAGAGUGCGGCACGUGUUUGCGCACGCUCGAGGGUCACGAGGAAUUGGUGCGUUGCAUACGUUUCGAUUCGAAACGUAUCGUCAGCGGUGCCUACGACGGCAAGAUCAAGGUGUGGGACCUUUUGGCAGCCCUGGAUCCCAGGAAACCGGCCAACGCUCUCUGCCUGCGGACACUGGUGGAGCACACGGGCAGAGUCUUCCGGCUGCAAUUUGACGAGUUCCAAAUUGUGAGCAGCUCCCACGACGACACAAUACUCAUUUGGGAUUUUCUGAACUCGACGGACAACAGCGCAGUCAGCAGCAUGCAGAUGUCGACGACGAGGAGCCCCUCGCCGACGAAUUUUGAUGAGUUUUUAGUGUAUGAGGAUUCGUAAUCUCGAAUGUGGGGGAUAAGCCUGAUAUUGGAUUUAGAGACAGAGAGAGAAAGAGAGAACAGAAAAAAAAACAAAAGAGUGAGAGAGAGACUCUGAGAGAUGAAGGAUCUGUGGUGUCGUGAGAAAAGAAGAAAUGCAUAUAGCGUUUGAGUGAUAUAUGCUGGGGAGGCACGGAUGAUGGGAGGUUCGAUAUUUCUCGUAACGCGACGCGAAGAUGCAAAGAAUACCGACAAAGAAAGACACGCACGCACGCAAGCAAGCAAGCAAGCAUCCCGACUCCUCCCACUUCGGAGCCGCCCCCUGCCCCCAACACAUCAAGACGGCGACUAACAGUUUCCGUUUGUUUUCACGUAUCCAUUGUUCGCGUACGAAAGAAAAACAAACAAAACAAAAAAAGAGACGUCAUUUGUUGUUGUUGUUGUUGUUGUUGUUGUCAACGCACCGCAUAUGUUAUGUGUCCUUCUCUUGUCCGUUUGUUUUGUUUUCGUCUCUCUUUCGUUAUCAUCCCCCAUGGAUGUCUAGUUUAUCGCAUGUGUGCGCGCUCGUUCCAUUUUGUUUUUGUUUCGUUAAUCUCGACGCGAGUGUCCAGAGAGUGUCUUCACGGACACGUAGGACACACAGAAGACAUAAACCGUUAAAUGUUCGUGUUUUAACUUUGUAAGACUAUAUAAACACUCACACACACACUAUAGUGUAUAUACCUAGUUACGAAUUUAUACCAAUUUAUAUUUAUAUAUAUAUAUUACCUUCUUUAAAUAUGUACCGUUCGUUUUUAUGUUUCUUUAUUUAAAUUUAAAUGUUUCGUUACUUUUUCGCACAUUCUGUAAAUGUAAGCAAAAUCGAAGAGAAACGUAUAAUAGCUAUUAUUAAAUGAUAGUACUAGCAUUACUCCAUAGCAACCAAUCAAUCAAUCUAUCCUAUGUUGUUGUUUUGUUUUUAUAUAUUUUUUAUAUUGUAUAUUAGUAACUAUGUACUGUUAUUGUUUUGUUUUCGCAUAUCGAAACUAAUCGUGAGUGCAAAACAAUCGUACAAGACGUACAAUUCGCAUGAAGAAACUUUACUUUUUUGUCUGUUUUGUUUUCGUAAUGUUCUUCUUGUUUUUUUUUUGUCACCGUACGCGAAUUACCUGAUCAAUAUAUUUAUACAUAAUAAGCAAAAGUUUAAGUAGUUGUUUCAAAAAUUGCUGCUACCUGCUGCAUCAGAAGAAGAAGGAAAUUGCAUCUUACAUAGUAGGAACAACAGCAACAAAAUUUAAAAAAAAGAACCCUAAUUGUGUAGUCUGUAAGAGUUAGUGUGUACCCAUUUUACCCUUUUCAGUAGUUACUAAACCACUGACUAAAACAGAUGAAGGAGAGAUUAAAAAAAGUGAAACACAAACAAAAAAAUUAAUUAAUUAAUUAUUAAUAAUAAUUUUAACGAUUAUGAAAAGCUUUUUGUGAUAAAGAAAGAAAGAAAGAAAAACAACAACAAAAU